CACGUAGGCACCAAGCGUUGUCCGGAUUUAUUGGGCGUAAAGAGCUCGUAGGCGGUUCGGUAAGUCGGGUGUGAAAACUCUGGGCUCAACCCAGAGCCGCCACCCGAUACUGCUGUGACUUGAGUUCGGUAGGGGAGCGGCGAAUUCCUGGUGUAGCGGUGAAAUGCGCAGAUAUCAGGAGGAACACCAGUGGCGAAGGCGCCGCUCUGGGCCGACACUGACGCUGAGGAGCGAAAGCGUGGGUAGCAAACAGG
rnacentral:rRNA from 1 species